CCUCCUGCUCUGCACAGCAUCACACACUUGUGGCCCUGCUGCACCUUCCCCAGGUUUAAACCUCCAGACGGGUUGAAGAACGCGCCCGAAAGGAACCACUUGGCAGAUUUGGUUUCCUCCCUUGAAGCCCCACUGGACGUGGAGCAGAUCCUUCGCUUGCAGACGCCCGAGGACAGUUUGCAGAAGGCUCUGAAUUCCCUGUAUUUGGCCAGAGAUCACCUCAGUGGACAGUUAAUGAAAGAGUAAAGGGAACUUGAAGGUACCUCGCUUGAAAAACUUUAAGAUUCUGGUCAUGCAACAGAGAGUGAGUGGUUGGCUCAGCAC
rnacentral:lncRNA from 1 species